AAUAUGGGGGGACCAUCCUCCAAGGCUAAAUACUCCUGACUGACCGAUAGUGAACCAGUACCGUGAGGGAAAGGCGAAAAGAACCCCGGCGAGGGGAGUGAAAAAGAACCUGAAACCGUGUACGUACAAGCAGUGGGAGCACAGAGCAAUCUGUGUGACUGCGUACCUUUUGUAUAAUGGGUCAGCGACUUAUAUUCUGUAGCAAGGUUAACCGAAUAGGGGAGCCGAAGGGAAACCGAGUCUUAACUGGGCGUUAAGUUGCAGGGUAUAGACCCGAAACCCGGUGAUCUAGCCAUGGGCAGGUUGAAGGUUGGGUAACACUAACUGGAGGACCGAACCGACUAAUGUUGAAAAAUUAGCGGAUGACUUGUGGCUGGGGGUGAAAGGCCAAUCAAACCGGGAGAUAGCUGGUUCUCCCCGAAAGCUAUUUAGGUAGCGCCUCGUGAAUUCAUCUCCGGGGGUAGAGCACUGUUUCGGCAAGGGGGUCAUCCCGACUUACCAACCCGAUGCAAACUGCGAAUACCGGAGAAUGUUAUCACGGGAGACACACGGCGGGUGCUAACGUCCGUCGUGAAGAGGGAAACAACCCAGACCGCCAGCUAAGGUCCCAAAGUCAUGGUUAAGUGGGAAACGAUGUGGGAAGGCCCAGACAGCCAGGAUGUUGGCUUAGAAGCAGCCAUCAUUUAAAGAAAGCGUAAUAGCUCACUGGUCGAGUCGGCCUGCGCGGAAGAUGUAACGGGGCUAAACCAUGCACCGAAGCUGCGGCAGCGACGCUUAUGCGUUGUUGGGUAGGGGAGCGUUCUGUAAGCCUGUGAAGGUGUACUGUGAGGUAUGCUGGAGGUAUCAGAAGUGCGAAUGCUGACAUAAGUAACGAUAAAGCGGGUGAAAAGCCCGCUCGCCGGAAGACCAAGGGUUCCUGUCCAACGUUAAUCGGGGCAGGGUGAGUCGACCCCUAAGGCGAGGCCGAAAGGCGUAGUCGAUGGGAAACAGGUUAAUAUUCCUGUACUUGGUGUUACUGCGAAGGGGGGACGGAGAAGGCUAUGUUGGCCGGGCGACGGUUGUCCCGGUUUAAGCGUGUAGGCUGGUUUUCCAGGCAAAUCCGGAAAAUCAAGGCUGAGGCGUGAUGACGAGGCACUACGGUGCUGAAGCAACAAAUGCCCUGCUUCCAGGAAAAGCCUCUAAGCAUCAGGUAACAUCAAAUCGUACCCCAAACCGACACAGGUGGUCAGGUAGAGAAUACCAAGGCGCUUGAGAGAACUCGGGUGAAGGAACUAGGCAAAAUGGUGCCGUAACUUCGGGAGAAGGCACGCUGAUAUGUAGGUGAAGUCCCUCGCGGAUGGAGCUGAAAUCAGUCGAAGAUACCAGCUGGCUGCAACUGUUUAUUAAAAACACAGCACUGUGCAAACACGAAAGUGGACGUAUACGGUGUGACGCCUGCCCGGUGCCGGAAGGUUAAUUGAUGGGGUCAGCGCAAGCGAAGCUCUUGAUCGAAGCCCCGGUAAACGGCGGCCGUAACUAUAACGGUCCUAAGGUAGCGAAAUUCCUUGUCGGGUAAGUUCCGACCUGCACGAAUGGCGUAAUGAUGGCCAGGCUGUCUCCACCCGAGACUCAGUGAAAUUGAACUCGCUGUGAAGAUGCAGUGUACCCGCGGCAAGACGGAAAGACCCCGUGAACCUUUACUAUAGCUUGACACUGAACAUUGAGCCUUGAUGUGUAGGAUAGGUGGGAGGCUUUGAAGUGUGGACGCCAGUCUGCAUGGAGCCGACCUUGAAAUACCACCCUUUAAUGUUUGAUGUUCUAACGUUGACCCGUGAUCCGGGUUGCGGACAGUGUCUGGUGGGUAGUUUGACUGGGGCGGUCUCCUCCUAAAGAGUAACGGAGGAGCACGAAGGUUGGCUAAUCCUGGUCGGACAUCAGGAGGUUAGUGCAAUGGCAUAAGCCAGCUUGACUGCGAGCGUGACGGCGCGAGCAGGUGCGAAAGCAGGUCAUAGUGAUCCGGUGGUUCUGAAUGGAAGGGCCAUCGCUCAACGGAUAAAAGGUACUCCGGGGAUAACAGGCUGAUACCGCCCAAGAGUUCAUAUCGACGGCGGUGUUUGGCACCUCGAUGUCGGCUCAUCACAUCCUGGGGCUGAAGUAGGUCCCAAGGGUAUGGCUGUUCGCCAUUUAAAGUGGUACGCGAGCUGGGUUUAGAACGUCGUGAGACAGUUCGGUCCCUAUCUGCCGUGGGCGCUGGAGAACUGAGGGGGGCUGCUCCUAGUACGAGAGGACCGGAGUGGACGCAUCACUGGUGUUCGGGUUGUCAUGCCAAUGGCACUGCCCGGUAGCUAAAUGCGGAAGAGAUAAGUGCUGAAAGCAUCUAAGCACGAAACUUGCCCCGAGAUGAGUUCUCCCUGACUCCUUGAGAGUCCUGAAGGAACGUUGAAGACGACGACGUUGAUAGGCCGGGUGUGUAAGCGCAGCGAUGCGUUGAGCUAACCGGUACUAAUGAACCGUGAGGCUUAACCUU
rnacentral:rRNA from 2 species